GGAUUCGUGCAGUGCUCGCUCCUUUCCGGAAAAUGGAAGCCUGCCUGCGUUGCUAAACCCUCUUCUCCUCCUCACAAAUGACAAAACCACAGAAGACACAACGGAAUAGAGCCGGUCUCAGACCCACCCAACACACCAAAACAGUAGAGCUAUGACUUAUGAAUGUGGGUUUGUUUCUUCCGUCUUCUUGGCGCGUGAAUCUCUGAGAGAAGCCAAAUCUUGACUGAAGAAGGCCUGAGAAGUCCUUUUUUUUCUCCGUCUCUGUCUGUCUGUCUUUCUUUAAAGAAGAAAGCUGGGUUCGAGAAUGUUUCCUGGAACUCGAACUCGGGCUUUUGUUGAACAUGCCUUCGUCAUCUCCUUCACCAGGUCCUCUCUUGCUGCUCUUCACAAUGAAGGGCAGCUCCCAGAAAGUUGGUUUGUGUCACAAAGGUUCAGAGAUUAUGGUCAUUCGUGCUUUGAGGGUUUUUUGUUCCAUCAACAUUAUGCAUGAAGUAGUAUCAUACCCAUUUUAGUACUAUGGGAUUAUAUGAACUGGUAACUACAUCAUGUUUGAGGGAAUGAAGCCACCGGUCCGCUUAGCAUAUAAAUGUUUGUAUCAUCCAUAACAAUUCCAGUAAUGAAUUUGGUUAUUUUGAAAUUCUUUUCAUCGUUACUGCAGUGAGGCAACUUUUUUUCUUGUUUGUCCGUUUCUUUAUACCUGUAUCUGCUAACAUACUCGAAAUGUUCUGUAUAUUAACGUGAUCCCAGUGAGCAUUACUCUUUUCCCCUA